AUUGAACGCUGGCGGCAUGCCUUACACAUGCAAGUCGAACGGCAGCACGGGAGCAAUCCUGGUGGCGAGUGGCGAACGGGUGAGUAAAGUAACGGAACGUGCCCAGUCGUGGGGGAUAACGUAGCGAAAGUUACGCUAAUACCGCAUACGUUCUAUGAAUGAAAGCGGGGGAUCGCAAGACCACGAGCGAUUGGAGCGGCCGAUAUCAGAUUAGGUAGGUGGUGGGGUAAAGGCUCACCAAGCCGACGAUCUGUAGCUGGUCUGAGAGGACGACCAGCCACACUGGGACUGAGACACGGCCCAGACUCCUACGGGAGGCAGCAGUGGGGAAUUUUGGACAAUGGGCGAAAGCCUGAUCCAGCCAUGCCGCGUGCAGGAUGAAGGCCUUCGGGUUGUAAACUGCUUUUGUACGGAACGAAAAGGUUUGGGCUAAUAAGCUGAGCUCAUGACGGUACCGUAAGAAUAAGCACCGGCUAACUACGUGCCAGCAGCCGCGGUAA
rnacentral:rRNA from 1 species